rnacentral:rRNA from 1 species
UACGUAGGGCGCAAGCGUUAUCCGGAAUUAUUGGGCGUAAAGAGCUCGUAGGCGGUGUGUCACGUCGGCCGUGAAAACCUGGGGCUUAACUCUGGGCGUGCGGUCGAUACGGGCAUCACUAGAGUUCGGCAGGGGAGACUGGAAUUCCUGGUGUAGCGGUGAAAUGCGCAGAUAUCAGGAGGAACACCGGUGGCGAAGGCGGGUCUCUGGGCCGAUACUGACGCUGAGGAGCGGAAGCAUGGGUAGCGAACAGG